AUUGAACGCUGGCGGCAUGCCUUACACAUGCAAGUCGAACGGCAGCGCGGGGGCAACCCUGGCGGCGAGUGGCGAACGGGUGAGUAAUACAUCGGAACGUGUCCUGGAGUGGGGGAUAGCCCGGCGAAAGCCGGAUUAAUACCGCAUACGAUCUACGGAUGAAAGCGGGGGACCGAAAGGCCUCGCGCUCAAGGGGCGGCCGAUGGCAGAUUAGCUAGUUGGUGGGGUAAAGGCCUACCAAGGCGACGAUCUGUAGCUGGUCUGAGAGGACGACCAGCCACACUGGGACUGAGACACGGCCCAGACUCCUACGGGAGGCAGCAGUGGGGAAUUUUGGACAAUGGGGGCAACCCUGAUCCAGCAAUGCCGCGUGUGUGAAGAAGGCCUUCGGGUUGUAAAGCACUUUUGUCCGGAAAGAAAACCUCCGUCCUAAUACGGUGGGGGGAUGACGGUACCGGAAGAAUAAGCACCGGCUAACUACGUGC
rnacentral:rRNA from 1 species